rnacentral:tRNA from 1 species
GGGAAGGUAAACUAAAUAAAGUUAGCGGGCUCAUAACCUGAACAUAGGUGUAAACCUCCUUCUCA